ensembl:misc_RNA
UGGAGAAGCCUGGAGACUGAAGUCCUCUCUUUAAUCCACAAAACACAUGCAGCCUUCCCAUAUUUCUCACUUCACAGCACCUCUUUUCCUCCCUUCCCUCACCAGGGAUGAAAGAAGGGCUCUGUCAUAUAGAAGAUGGUUCAGUCUUCAUGUUCAGUCAGUUUUUGGCUGUG